GGAAGUGACCCGCCGCCGGAAGUGCCUGUCGGGGCGGCGCUGCCCCGCCCCCGGCCGCCGCUCUGUCGCGACGGGCGAGAAGGGAGAAGGGAGACCCCGCAGCGGGGGCGGCGGCGGCGGCGGCGGCGCGUCCCAGCGCGGGGACCGCUUCGGAGGGGAACUUUUACGGCCGGGCCGCGCGGCACCCUGGGACACGUAGUUCGGCGCCGGGCCGCGGCUGGACUACAACUCCCAGGAUGCCCCUGGAGGGGAGGGGGCGGGGGGCGAGCGAGGCGGCGCGGCGGCCUCCGAGGCCCGACGGUGUCAGCGGCUGCUGCGCGAGCGGGGACUCGGUUGCUUAAACACAUGCGCUAAAGGAGCUGCCGGGGACGGGGAGGCCGCUGCGCGUUCCGCCCCCCUGGAGCCAUCUCCUACGCGGCGGGACCUCCCCGCCCAAGGGAUUCUGGGGCUUGUCGUUUCCGAGAGGAUGGAGGCUGACACCUGGAGGACGCGGCGUGGCGGCUCAGCCCCCGGCGGCCCCGCGGGGCUCGGGACGGCGCCCGGCCCGGAAGUGGGCGGCGGGGGCCAGGGCAGGAGCCGUGCGGGCGGCUGCGGCGAGGCCACGCGCGACCCGCCGAGCCCCCGGCCCAGCAGCCUCCGAGCUGUCGGGGACCCGCUCGCGGAGGAGAAGCGCAGCCAGCGGUGUUUGCUCCGGGACUCCGCAGGCGACGCCCACGCCGGGCGACUAAGGGGCGUGUGCGGGGCAGGCAGGUCCUGGGGUGCACGCAGAUCUCCUCCUUGGUGCUUAUUUUACCCUGACACCGCCUGAGUGACAAAGUCCACUGGGUGGACAACGUGAUUUUCAUCUACCAAAUGCAGAAAAUUUGGAAGGCCGGUUAGUACCCUUCUCCAUCCUUAGAUUUCCUUUUUUUUUUUUUAGUUUAUUCAUGAGAGACCCAGAGAGAGAGGCAGAGCCAGGAGCAGGCUCCCUGCAGGGAGCGGGAUGUGGAGACUGGAUCCCAGGACCCCAAGAUUAGGACCGAGCCCAAGACAGAUGCUCAACCCCUGAGCCCCCAGGUGCCCCCAUCCCUAGAUUUCCAGAUGGGUGAUCCUGAAGGUUGUUCCAAAUCCCUGCUCCCCCCGACAAUCCAUGAUUUUUCUGACUACCUGAAUAUAGGUUAUUUCUCACCCAACCCUGCUCUCCCUAAUUCUGUGACAGCACUCUUGGCUUGUAAUUCAUCCCAGAACUUUUUCAACAGGCAUUUGAGGGGAGGAAAGAGAAGUACUCCAGGAAGAAGAAGAAAAAAAUGGUUCUUGCUUUCUUGACUCUGAAUACUGAAUUGAGCCGUGACUGGUGCCUCUCCUUCCUCUUUUCCUUCUCCUCCUUCUCCUCCUCCUCCUCCUUUUCAAGUAGUGCCUUUGUAGUUAAGCUUCCCGUGUAGAGGCAGCAUUUUUUUCUUCCAGAGGGAGUCAAUGUUGUCACCUCAGCUCACAAAUUCAUGCAGCCACCUCCAGGGUAGAAUGCAGCACCUGCUAAAACAUUCCCUCAAAGGAAGCCCACGGAGGCAUGUUCUCUGCGCUUUCCUUAAAAGGCUAGAUUUUGUCUUUAGGAAGUUUGGAAUAGACCUUAAAAUAGAUGGGAAAGCUUAUUUGGAAUUAGGUUCAUUGACUCCAUGUUUCUCAAUGUCUAUUGAUCUUGAUUGGCUUUUUUGAAGUUCUAUUGGGUCCUAGAAUCUGUUGCUAUCUCCGUUUUUACUAUCCUAGACAUUCCUGUUACCAGACUAGGCCAGAUUUAAUGCAAAUCCCAACUCUCCUUCGUGAUGAACAAAAACUUGUUUUUAUCUAAUAGGAUUAAGGUAGCUAAUGAGCAUUCACCUACAUUCUUUGAGGAGGUUUUUUUAAAAAGAAGCAAAAGAAACAAAAAAUGUGAGAAAAAGUCUCUGUCAGAGACAAAUGACAAUUGUAAUGACAAAACUCCAGCUUUUAAUUAUUUACAUAUAAUAAAUUAUUUGAUCCUCCUAACA
ensembl:lncRNA